CUCCUACGGGAGGCAGCAGUGGGGAAUUUUGGACAAUGGGGGCAACCCUGAUCCAGCAAUGCCGCGUGAGUGAAGAAGGCCUUCGGGUCGUAAAGCUCUUUUGUCAGGGAAGAAACGGUAAUCUCUAAUAUAGAUUGCUAAUGACGGUACCUGAAGAAUAAGCACCGGCUAACUACGUGCCAGCAGCCGCGGAAUUC
rnacentral:rRNA from 1 species